GGGGUCUCCUGCGGCUCGAGCCUGCUGCACAGCAUUGGUUCUUGGUGUUGUUGUACUGAGCUCAGCAUCCGAGGGUCGAUCAAGUUUUGUGCCCCGUUCCGCUGGUGGCCCUCCACGGCUGGAAUAUCCUGUUGAGUUCCCCCUCGGCCAACCGACUUUCGACAAUAUCCAAGCCAUCUGUAUCAAUGGAGACCAUCGUCCCCGCUACCCAGACUCGUACUUUCCUGUCAGUGGUUAUGGGAAGUUGAAGCGAAUGGCCAGUUCUGUCAACGAGUUAGAGUACCGCUUAAAUGCAUGCUGCGGGAGCAACCACACGUGGGGGACAGAGGUGACGCUGUGUUGCGCCUCAAUGAUGUGGAAGUACGCAAUCAAUUCCUACUGUGAGGAGGACGCAAGCAUAAAGGAUCGUCAAUCUGAAUGCUGCAAGCCGAUGGGCAGCGACAGGCUAAACUGCUUCCAUAACGAAGCUCUGAACCCAAACUACACGGCGACACAGGAGCUGCCGGUGCCACAGAUUCCCUCCACUGAAACCUUUAACUUUAACCCCACGGAUUGUAUGAAUUGAAUUUGAUAAAAUAACCACCAGUAAACAGUUGAUUUUGAAUGUUAACAAGUUAAACCUUCUUAAACAUCAUUUAUGCUCCUAUGCAUAGGAUCAAAUCAGAAAUCAGUUUCAGCUUUUACAAUGUUGUGAAAACAUUUCUCAAUAUUUUCUAAAUAAUCUAUAUCCCAUGAAAAGACACACAUUUGGACACAUUUCUGUCUAUUAAACUAUUUAAAUAACUUUUAUUAAAUAGGCUUUUCAUACGCCAAAACACAUCAAAUUGUUUUAUAAUAGGCCUACUAUGAGGAAGGAUUUUACUGCGCUGGAAAGUUAUGUUUAUGGCAAUCAUUUUACAUUGUACACUUGCCGGUAUAGUUCAUUGACCAAUGCAGGGCUUUGUCCGAGAAUGCUUCAUUGUUUUCAGAAAACACCACAGCAUUUCAGAAAACACAACAGCAUUUCAGAAAACACAACAGCAUUUCAGAAAACACCACGGCAUUUCACAUUGGACGGAAAGGGUAUUCCCUUAAGCCCCUGUCACACUGUCCCGAAGUUGACACCCGAUGGACACACGAAUAUGGAAUUGUGAAUUUCGCACGAAGAUGGCGCCGAACCACACACGAAGGCAACAUUUACAUUACAUUUAAGACAUACA